AAAACAGGAAUUAACGUUAAUCAACAUUAUUGGAUCACUGAUGCUAAUCUUCCAAAGACAGUUUAUUCUGAGUCAGAGUCUAUUGGAAGUAUCCUUCGGCGUUUCCUUACUGGUGGAGAGUUCAUGAUGGCCUGAACAUUUGAAUUUGAUGUGUUAGACAUGUUACUUGUGUGGAAAUGGACAUUGAUAUUUCCACUGAUCUGGUUUCCACUGAAAAAACCACCUAAAAAGUCAUACGGAUUCCUGGGAGCCGGUUGUUGAACAUGGUCACUGAUAUGAGUCUCUGUGUGCUGACGACUGGUGUAAACGUGGUGUGGAGCUGAGAUAUCUCUGGAUUUAGUGCAGGUGUUUGGAGGUACAUUAGAAGCUACAGUUAGGAAGAAUGGAGAGUUUGGCUCCAACAUUGCUUCUGGACGGCUUUUAGCAAAUUGCUUAUACAAAGCCACUGGACAACGUGCCGGAUUUUCAAUAACUUCAUAAGCUCUUGGCUUUAUUUUUCUUGUAUCACGAGGAUCAGCCCCAGUCCUAGUUUUAGUUUGGCGCUCCUGACUAUACACUAGAUAUUCGGAGCCAUCAUCAUCAGACAUCAACUUUACAUCUCCCCAACAAAGAGAAUGAACCUCUGUGCCAGUCCGCAUACCAAAAAAAUUGGUGCAAAUAAACCACAUAGAAUUUUGAAGUGCUCUAGGAUUGUUUCCACCAAGCUGGUCAGCUGCAUAGAAUUUCUCUAAAUCGUCGGAUGUUAUGGCAGCAGCAGCAUUUGGGUUGUUGCCCUUUCCUUGUGAUUUUAAGUGUUUUGUUUUUGCUUUCAACACCUGCUUACAUUUCUGGAAAACCUGAUCUUUGGAUAGUGAGAAGCCAUAUUGGUUCACAUUGAGGAACCUUUGAAUGCUUUGGAACUUUGAUAUGAGAGAGUUUGGCUCAUAUUCCUGGCCAUCUUUUUUCCUUACUGCAUAGAUAAAAUUACUGACAUAGGCAGAUAACUCUUCAGGAGGGAUUUGAAGUAUUGGCCUACUUUCAGCCACAGAGACCAAAAAUUCUUGGAAUAAUUUAAUGUCUUGGUCAGUUUUAACUUUAGUGUUCUUAUUAAUGCCAUCUUCAAGAAAUUUAUCAACAACUUCUGUGUUUGAAGUAACAAAUCGUGGAUUACCAAUAUUUAUUGUGUUGCUGACAUCUUCAUCUUGUUCAGUAGGAUGAACUACCGGUUCAUUCUCAUUGACAUUAUUUGGAACUGAUUCAUCAUCCUGUUGCAAGAUCAUAGCUGCCUCAAUCAAAUGAAAAUCAAUGUUAGCCAAGAACUCAUCUUCUUCAUUGUCUAUUUCAAUGUCUAACUCAAUGUUGCUUUCUUGUGACAUUUUGCAGAAGACAAAAACUGAUUUUCAAGCUUUUGACAUAGCUACUAUUAGUCUAAUAAGCAUCUAUUGAUACAGAUUUUAUGUAAGGAAUAGAACUGAAUAGAACAGAAAUUUGUUAAAGGGACACUCUUUUUUGUACUGAAUUGUUUUUGAUUAUAAAAUUAUUAUAAAUUAA